rfam:Ictidomys tridecemlineatus contig037798, whole genome shotgun sequence.
GUGGCUGUGGCUCAGUGGUAGAGUGCUCACUCAGCAUGUGUGAGGCCCUGGGUUUGAUCCUCAGCACCACA